rnacentral:rRNA from 1 species
AUACGGAAGGUCCAGGCGUUAUCCGGAUUUAUUGGGUUUAAAGGGAGCGCAGGCCGGUGUGUAAGCGUGACGUCAAAUACAGCCGCUCAACGGUUGUCCGCGUCGCGAACUGCAUGCCUUGAGUACGCUGCAAGUGGGCGGAAUUCGUGGUGUAGCGGGGAAAUGCGUAGAUAUCACGAAGAACUCCGAUUGCGAAGGCAGCUGACAGCAGUUUUACUGACGCUCAUGCUCGAAAGUGCGGGUAUCGAACAGGAUUAGAUACCCUGGUAGUCCGCACGGUAAACGAUGGAUGCCCGCUGUUUGCCUUUUUGGUAAGCGGCCAAGCGAAAGCAUUAAGCAUCCCACCUGGGGAGUACGCCGGCAACGGUGAAACUCAAAGGAAUUGACGGGG